CUGGUUAAAGAAAAUCCUGUAGGAAUUAUUUAGAUUCUGAAAGUCAAUUCUAAUAACUCAACCCUCCAAACAGAUGCACUAAAUGAUCUUCGACAUAAACAGCAAAUAACUUGCAUGUGUAUGUGCUGAUCAGUUGUGUAACUUACUGUCUGCAUGCGCAGUGUCGGAUUUCAGAAGCGCGUCUUGCGCGAGUAAUUAAAAUGCGCGUGAACGCAUCAUUUUUAAACUUCAACCGUUACGGAGGUCCGUUUGAGCUCAGCGCUCGAGAGGACGACGAUUAAAUUGAAGCAAAAAGAAGAAAUGUGGUUUACGGUGCUGUCCGGGCCUGCGCUAUUCUCCGCCAGGAGGAGAGAGGGGUCUGCCAUGGCUUGACACAGACGAGAGAGAGAAAGCAAGAUGGAGUGAGAGAACAGGCGCUACCCUUGGGGUGGGAGACAGUUCAGUUAUAGUGAUUGAUUGAUUGCACAAAGCUGCCAAGAGCAGGAGGGUACCGGACACCAGGAAAGCGAGGAAAAUGGCUGGAGUUGUGAGUGAGGAGAAAAAAGGGACAACUUCUCUUCAUUUCAAUAGAGAGAACUACUUAUGUUGUCUGAGAAAAUCGAUUUGGAGAGGAAUCGGCCCUUGUGAGGAAAACGGCAAGCCUUUUUUCCUCCUCCCGUUUGUUCUCGAGUUGUCAAACUUGAUGAAAGGUCCACACUAUCUUUGCUGAAACUCUGAGACAAGUGAGUUAUUAUACAACAAUUGUAUUAAAAACACAAUGGACAACACAAUUUUUCUCCAAUUCACCCGUCCAUGUUUUUUUUGUUUUGUUUGUUUUUUUUUUUUUUUCCUGCCAUUCUUUCUGUCCAUGUGUAUAUGGGUAAUUUUGCCAACACAAAGGUUCACGGAUAUGUCAUUAUACUGAAUGACAGCUGUCAGAACUCGGCAGUUUGUCGAACUGAUGCCCGAGAGGGACAGAGCACAGGAGGAGAGAGAGGCUCUCCGAAGCCCUCUGGUCAGCUGCCAACGCCAUCUCUUGAUGCCAUGUUCUCUUUGCACUUUUUUUUUUUUUACGUCUCUACUCAAGAAAAUAAGAAAGAGCUGUUCAGAUAUUCUGGAGAUGGCUAUAAAAGACACCUAGCAUGAAUGUGAGAAUUACUGUGCACUUUGUAGGAACCUUGUUGACUUUGAUUUCUUUUUUUUCCACUGAGGCUACCUUGUAAAUUGUGAUCUUAAAAGGACAGUUCACCCAAAAAUGAAAACUGAAAUCUAUUCGCCAUCAUGUUUUUUCAAACCCAAAUGAUUUGCCGCCUUCUGCUGACCACAAAGUAUUUUUGAAGAAUACUACAACUAUUUUUGUCUAUACAGUGAAAGCCAGUGGUGUCCAAACAACUACUGACCACACUGACUUUCACUAGAUGGAGAGGGGGGAAAAACAUAUAUCGGGUAUGCAUGUGACAUCACAGUCGGCCGGAGUGAUUGCGGUAACACUCACUGAGUGGCAAAAAGACUGAGUGGCAGCAUUGGUUUUCAGUGUGAAUGCUGAGAAAAACACAUACAAACACAUCUAAAAAUAGAUUUGUCAAUAAAUCUGAAGUAUAUUUUUACUGUCGAAAGCUACAGAAAAGAGAAGCAAAUGGAUCGCUGUAAUGCACAGAAACAACUGGACUUGAGGCAGUGAAAUGUGG